CCUACGGGUGGCAGCAGUGAGGAAUAUUGGUCAAUGGGCGCGAGCCUGAACCAGCCAAGUCGCGUGAGGGAUGACGGUCCUACGGAUUGUAAACCUCUUUUGCCGGGGAGCAAGCGUGCGUUCGUGAACGCGCGUCGAGAGUACCCGGAGAAAAAGCAUCGGCUAACUCCGUGCCAGCAGCCGCGGUAAUACGGAGGAUGCGAGCGUUAUCCGGAUUUAUUGGGUUUAAAGGGUGCGCAGGCGGAUUUUUAAGUCAGCGGUCAAAUCGUGGGGCUCAACCCCAUCCAGCCGUUGAAACUGGGGAUCUAGAGUGUGCGAGAGGUAUGCGGAAUGCGUGGUGUAGCGGUGAAAUGCAUAGAUAUCACGCAGAACCCCGAUUGCGAAGGCAGCAUACCGGUGCACAACUGACGCUCAGGCACGAAAGCGUGGGUAUCGAACAGGAUUAGAUACCCUAGUAGUC
rnacentral:rRNA from 1 species